GUCCAGAUGAUGAGUCUCAAAUAAGACGAAAAGCGCAUCCUGGAU
rnacentral:hammerhead_ribozyme from 1 species